AGAAAUGGGACUUCAGGUGUUCAGCAUUGGUGUUUUACCACCUUUGCUUUGGUUUGUGAUCUAUUGUUCAAAAGUAUCAUCUUAUUAAUUGAGUUGAUGACACACUGGUAGAGCAGCUUGUGAAAUCUGAUAAAACUUGUUAAGAGAGGUGAGUCCCUAGUUAACUGGUGUUGCUUGUGUUGGUGUGAUGGGGAAUUGGUAGACCAUCUUUUACUUCAUUGUAAGUUUUCUCAUGCUUUAUGGAAUGAAGUUUUUUAGGUGUUUGGGUUCCAAUGGAUUUUGCCGAAGACUGUUUUCUCUCUUUAUGCAUGGAGGAAUUGGUUUGGGAAGCAACUGCCAAAUAUCUGGAAUAUAGUUCAUAUGUGGUGAAAUAUAUUAAGAUUGUCUGAGGGCACCGAGGUCAAUGUGAAUAAUUGCAUUAUACGCGGAGUUCUUGUAACUGUUGGGGAUCUUACUAGAGUGGGUGGUUAUUUAACGAGACAAUACAUUCCUGAACAUAUGCCUUUAAUUGUUGAAGCUUUAUUGGAUGGAGCAGCUAUCACAAAACGUGAAGUGGCUGUUGUUACUCUUGGUCAAGUUGUGCAGAGCACUGGGCAUGUGACACUUUUCUUAAGGUAUGUUAUAAUUCCAUAAAAUGAGUAUCCGCAGCUACUUGAAUGGUGAGUUAGCAUGGUCUACCAGACAGGAAGCACUGAAGGGAUCUACUUACGACUUAGACUUCUGAGUUGUAUCCCGUACAACAUUUUUUUUGUACAAAGGUUGUUCUUGUUUAGAUCCUUGGAAUUAUGGGUGCUCUGGAUCCUCAUGUGCAUAAAAAAAAUCAGCCAAGUUUGCUGGGGUUGCAUGGAGAUGUAGCCUGUGCUACCAGUGAUUCAGGUCAUGUUCAGUCCUUGGAUGAUCUGCCUAUGGAUCUGUGGCCAUCUCUUGCAACACCUGAAGAUUAUUAACCCACGGUAGUGCAUCAACCUGACAUAUGACUUUGUUUAUUUUUGCUUGUUAUAUUAAUUUCUGUGGCUCUAGGUUGCGACCAAUUCUCUCAUGCGAAUACUUUGGGAUCCUUCUCUUGCUAGUUACCACCUUAAGGUGGUUGGAUCACUUAUGUUCACAUUUAAGGUAUGUGUAGCAAAAUGGAGUGGUUUUUUCUUUUUA